CAGGGAAUAUUGCUUAAUGGGCGAAAGCCUGAAGCAGCAACGCCGCAUGAACGAAGAAGGCCUUCGGGUCGUAAAGUUCUUUUACGUGGGAUGAGGAAGGACAGUACCACGAGAAUAAGUCUCGGCUAACUACGUGCCAGCAGCCGCGGUAAAACGUAGGAGACGAGCGUUAUCCGGAUUUACUGGGCGUAAAGCGCGUGUAGGAGGCGCUACAAGUUGGAUGUGAAAGCUCCCGGCUUAACUGGGAGAGGUCGUUCAAGACUGUAGGGCUAGAGUGAGGCAGAGGUAGAUGGAACUCCGGGAGUAGUGGUGAAAUGCGUAGAUAUCCGGAAGAACACCAGAGGCGAAAGCGAUCUACUGGGCCUAAACUGACACUGAGACGCGAAAGCCAGGGUAGCAAACGG
rnacentral:rRNA from 1 species